AUGAAGAACACCAACUCAGCUGUCACCCCCGCCCCCAAGUCUCACUGGCUAGAAGAUCUUCCCCCGUUCUCUGGCAGCACCGGUGGGUCUUGUCACCGAGGCUGCCGUUGCUGUCUAUUGACAGGCGUCCCCCUCAGGAGACCGGGAGCUCCUCCAGCGCAGGGCCCCGCUCAGCACCCCUGGUCCCGGGGGACCCCACGGCGGCCGCCGCGCUCCGUGAAACUUUGCCGCGCGCAGCAGCGCCCGGAGACCCACGUGGACCCUCUCCCUGCGGGGACAGGUCAGGGCGCGCCGCCCCUCCCCCGCGGCAGCCGCCCCGACCUGGGCCAAGGUCGGCCAAGUCCUCGCCGCCUGCCCAGCGGCCCUUGUACCCACAGGCCCUGGACCCGAGUGCGCGGAAGCCUCCGAGCCGCGGCCAGGUCUCAGAAUGCGCGGCGGGACAGCCCGGCCCGUCAAGCAGCGAAGCCGAAACUAGAAGUCUCAGGUCUAGCUUGGUCACUGUUUGCUGGCGGACUCCGACGAGCAACUACCCUUCGGGGACUCAGUUUCCCCCGGGCCAAGUGAAACGGACACCAGCGGCUCCCGCGAGAACUCGCGCAGGAACAGGAGCCGCGAGCUCCGCACAGCGCCUGGCACGUAGACCCAGUCUACUAACGGGCUGGAAGGCCGCGCUCCCGUCUCCACACCGCCCUAGAACC